AUGGAGAUGGAAAAUUCCUUGCUGUCAACUCCUGGAGCUAACCUGGGUAGUUUUUCCACUGGGCUUGGAGGGAAAUCUCCCUGCAUUCCCCAGGGGGAAAAACAGGACCCUAUUGGGGAGUCGCAGGAGAGUGUGGAAUCUGAUGAGUCACUGCACACGACCUUGUUUUUAGAUUCCUUCAAUCAGGAGACAAUGGAUGAAAAAGUUGAGAAGGUGGUUGGGGAGGCCAAGACGGCCAAAAAUAAUGAAUACAGAGUGGAGUUUCCUGAUAUGGAGGGGGAUAUUGAAAUGAUCCCUGCUCCUCCCCUGGUCAUUGAAGAAAAUCUUCGGUUCAGUCUGAGGAAUGGACAUAACAAGAUGGAGAGGGUUGACGAAAAGGCCAGGGCAGCUGCAAAAAAGAGAGACAUCGAAGGUACUCCUCGAGUCCCCAACUCUUUUGAUACGCUAUCUAAUCCUGAACUUAUUCUCAGAGCUGUGAAAAUGGGGGUAAACAUCCCAGAUGCUGAUUUUACUAAUGUUGAUAUCAUUAGAGAAUUAGAAAAAUGUAGAAAUGUGGAAAUUGUUAAGGACAAACAGACUCAACCUGAUGUGGGUGGGGGACAUUUGGUAAUUACUAAUGCAAAAGGGGACCAAACUCCUCUUAAUAUGAACUGGGAGGAUAAUAGUGAUGUGGAUAAUGAUAACUUUGUUGUGGUCCGAUCUAGGAAGAAAAGAGAGAGAAAGAUUAAUGUGGUGAUAGCUAGACCUUGCACUAGAAGUCAAAAAGGGAGGGGCUUCCUUGCAAAAUGUUGCCGGUGGAUCUACUCUGCUUCCUAG
rnacentral:rRNA from 1 species